rnacentral:rRNA from 1 species
GACGAACGCUGGCGGCGUGCUUAACACAUGCAAGUCGAACGGAAAGGCCCUGCUCUUGUGGGUUGCUCGAGUGGCGAACGGGUGAGUAACACGUGAGUAACCUGCCCUUAACUUUGGGAUAACUUCAGGAAACUGGGGCUAUUAUCGGAUAGGAUCUCCUGCUGCAUGGUGGGGGUUGGAAAGUUUCGGCGGUUGGGGAUGGACUCGCGGCUUAUCAGCUUGUUGGUGGGGUAGUGGCUUACCAAGGCUUUGACGGGUAGCCGGCCUGAGAGGGUGACCGGCCACAUUGGGACUGAGAUACGGCCCAGACGCGUACGGGAGGCAGCAGUGGGGAAUAUUGCAGAAUGGGCGGAAGCCAGAUGCAGCAACGCCGCGUGCGGGAUGACGGCCUUCGGGGUGUAAACCGAUUUCGCCGGUGACGAAGAGUGAGUGACGGUAAUGGGUAAAGAAGCAACGGCUAACUACGUG